rnacentral:rRNA from 1 species
CAAUAGCGUAUAUUUAAGUUGUUGCAGUUAAAAAGCUCGUAGUUGGAUUUCGGAUGGGAUUUGCCGGUCCGUCGUUACGAUGUGCACUGGCCAGUCCUAUCUUGUUGUCGGGGACUAGCUCCUUGGAUUCACUUCCUGGGACUAGGAGCUGACGAGGUUACUUUGAGUAAAUUAGAGUGUUCAAAGCAAGCCUACGCUCUGAAUACAUUAGCAUGGAAUAACACGAUAGGACUCUGGCUUAUCUUGUUGGUCUGUGAGACCAGAGUAAUGAUUAAGAGGGACAGUCGGGGACAUUCGUAUUUCAUUGUCAGAGGUGAGAUUCUUGGAUUUAUGAAAGACGAACUUCUGCGAAAGCAUUUGUCAAGGAUGUUUUCAUUAA